rnacentral:rRNA from 1 species
AAAGAAUUUAAAGAGUGCACUUCAUUGUGGCUCGACAUUUUCUACCAUUCACCCUAGUGCACUGUAACACCCUUUUUUAUUAGACUCUACAAAGUUAUUGAAUGUAACACUUUUUUAUAAAGAAAUAAAACUUUUAACAACGGAUCUCUUGGCUCUCGCAACGAUGAAGAACGCAGCGAAAUGCGAUAAGUAAUGUGAAUUGCAGAAUUCAGUGAAUCAUCAAAUCUUUGAACGCACCUUGCGCCCUUUGGUAUUCCGAAGGGCACACCUGUUUGAGUGUCAUUAAUCUCUCAACCCUAACAUUUUUUUAUUAGAAUGGUAGUGGCUGGAUGUUGAGCGUUGCUGGACCUUUUUUGGUUCAGCUCGCUUUAAAAUUAUGAGCAGGCUCCUACCAUUUCGGACUGACUCAACGUGAUAAGAAAUUUCGUUGAGGACGCUUUACAGCGGCCGAAUUGUAGGGAAAUGCCGCUGCUAGUUGACCCUUAUAUUUUAGACCUCAAAUCAGGUGGGACUACCCGCUGAACUUAA